rnacentral:lncRNA from 1 species
UUGUGGAGUUGUGCGCUGAACUGAUUAAUUUUAUUCUGUCAGAUUAAUAAGCAGCAAUCUAGUUAGCUAGAGGUACGGAGGAGGAGGAGGAGGAGCAGCACCAGCAGCAGGACAACAGGAAUCCAGAUAAUUCUCAUCGGCCAAGAACCGACGCGAAUUAGCCUUAUACCGAAGAGAAUAAUUAAUUCCCGUCGUUUUAUUGUUAAUUCUCGUCGGUUCUUGGCCGACGGCAAUCCCUGGACGGGGUUUAGUUAAUUUCUGUCGGCGGACGACGGGAGUUAAUUAAUUCCCGUUGGCUUACUGUAGCCGACGGGUAUUAAAUAAUUUCUGUCGGUCUGAUAAUUCCCAUCAGCCUGAGAAUCAAAACCAGGGAUUUAGAUUGUUGAAUAACCCUCAUCUAUCUUAUUCGCUCAAAUCCAAUAGCCAACAUUAUUUUGAUUAUUUUUCCUCUCUCAUUCCUCACACGCACAAUAAUCUCGUGCCUCCCCUCCCCGCGGAUCAUGCCGCCCCCUCCUCCUCCCUAGGACUGUAACACUGGCACGAGUAUUAGACUAGUCAUAUAUAAUACUCCCUCUGUAUCUAAAAUAUUUGUUGUUCUCACUUUUCAAGCAGUCAAUCAUUUUUAACUUUAACCAUAUAUAUAUAUAUAUAAAUGUUAAUAUUUUUUCUAUAAAUCUAGUCAAAUUUAAGAAAGAUUGAUGCACUACCGGAAUCAGCUCCUUUGCCGUGUGUCUGAGACACACGGCAAAGACUAUUUUACACUCGGCAAAGCCUUUGCCGAGUGUAACACUCGGCAAAGAACGCUCGGCAAACUGUACAUCAGCAACAGCCUCUUUGCCGAGUACUUUUUGUCGGGCACUCGGCAAAGAAAAGUCACCGUCACGGCGCCAAGUGGCGGUGACGGAUCCUUUGCCGAGUGCCUUCUGUGGCACUCGGCAAAGAGGCCAAUUUUGCCGAGUGUGAGGCCCUCGGCAAAGACUGGUCCAGUGGGCCCCACCGCCAGUCCCUGUGCCGAGAGCUUUAGUAGGCACUCGGCAAAGGAGGCUUCUUUGCCGAGUGUCUGGUGGACUGGCACUCGGCAAAGAACCCUCUAGUGGGCCCCAUUGCCAGUAUCUUUGCCGAGUGCCUUGGCACCAGCACUCGGCAAAGAUGUCUUUGCCGGUUCCCAGAUUUCCUUCUUUGCCGAGUGCCAUUGUCAGCACUCGGCAAAGAUGGCUUUACCGGUUCCUAGGUUUUCUUCUUUGCCGAGUGCCAUGGUCAUAGCACUCGGCAAAGCGGCCCUUUGCCGAGUGUUACACUCGGCAAAGUGACCAGGAUGUCCCUUUUUAUUUGCUUUUGUUGUUCCAUCCAAACAUACAAAAGAUAUAUAUCAUUUACAUCACAUUAUAUAUCAAUCACAUCACAGAAUGAACACAUUUAUCAUCAACACCAUAUAUAUCACAAAGUCUCACUAAAGUCUCACAAAUAUAAGUCAGGAUCAUCACAAAACAGAUAUAAGUCUGCAUCAUCACUAACAUCACCAAGUAUCUCACAAGAUAAAGUCUAACUAACAUCACCAACACUCAUAAAGGUAAGUCUGGAUCAUUACAAAACAGAUCAUCAACGAGGUGGGCAUCUGGACUGGUUCGGCGAAGGGCUGGACAAAGCAUGAGGGUUGUUCGACGCCGCCGAUUGACCCUGCAUGGAGAAGAGAUUAUAUGUGUGAGAACAUAUGAAUAUAUAUCAUGCAGUACUAAAAUUUUGAUACUCACAGGAGUAGUGAACUCUGUAGGGUCAGCUGCAGGGAACAACGAAGGUGGUGGAGCAUGACCCUGUGCGGCGCCAAGGCUCUGCAUGUACGCAAACAUCUCCGCCAUCCUCUUCUCCAGCUCCUCACGUUGCCUCCUCUCAUCAUCUAGUUGAGUCUGUAAUAUUUCGCCCUAAUGUUACGAUAAUGCAAAGAGAAGAUAUAUAAAAAUCAAUGAACGAUGAAUAGAUAAGGAAUAACUAGGAGUUGCUGGAUACGAUGCUGUGAGGUGUCCUGCCGAGGUCGUAUGGCUGGGCUCGCGCUCGUGCUCCUUGCUCGCACCUGAGAGAGAGUGGGAGUGGAGGACGAGUCGAUUGCCCCGUCGGCAAUCCAGUACCGUCCAUGCCUCUUGCCUCCUCCGACCCUCAUGAGGACAUCUCCGUCGAUGUCCUCGGUCCUCAGAUCGUAAUCUGGACCAUGGACCUCCUUGGCCAUGGCGGUGUACUCACUGAGUCGGCUGUGGAUGGCGGGGUUGGUGUACGCCUCGGGCCCGUCAUCCGGGUUGUAGGUGACGUCGGACGUCGCCUUCCCCUUGUGGGCCAUGGCAUAUGCCGAGAACGUGGAGCAAGGCGCGCCACCAUGUGCCGCCGACUGCGAGAAAACCAACGAGAUGGUUAGAAAUCAUGUCUAAUCGAAAGUUAUAUACCUAAAUAAAAAAGAGCGCGUACCCAUGCUUCCGCGUAUUUGCCCAGGCUGCGGCUGCCUUGAUGGUGGGAGGGACCUUGCAUCAGCAAACGCCGUUCCCGGCUAGCGUUGUGCACCUCAUCCCACUCAGCCGAGCACCACCUCUGCACCAUCUGCUCCCAGCACUCAGGAUGCGCGGCGCACCAAUGAGGAAUCAUCUAAAAAAAUAUAAGUACACCGCAUAUCAGAAGAUAAAAAUAAGCAUAUUUAGUACCAAUAAUAAAGUUUUGUAUUUACCUGCAAGUACUGGUCCGGAGUCAACGACAUGGUUCGGGCAUCCUUCUUGUUCACCUUCUCCCCAAGGACGGAGCCGUGGUAAGUGACGAUGGCCUAGAUGCGCGCCUCGUAGUGCAUGUCCACGACGAGCUUCUUACAGCACGUCGUAGACACCACAUCCGCCCUGGCCUCGUAUCCAGCAUCGCACCUGAAGGAAUUAUCAACAACACGAAUAUGUUCUGUCUUUGAAAGCAUACGCCGGGGGGAGAUUGAUGGGGAUAACGAACACGGGCCAACAUGUGUAUGGGACAGCGGUCAUUCCAUAGGGAUUGAACCCAUCUAUGGCCAGUGCAACACGAACAUGUCGAGCCUCUUUGGCUUUCUCAUGGUGAAUGGCAUCAAAGUGGGUCCAUGCUUCACCAUCGGAUGCGUGAACCAUCUUGUUAGGAUUGUAUCAUUUGCCUUUUUUGUGCCAUGUCAUCUGUUUCGUGGAUUCCUCUGUCAUGUAUAGACGCUGGAUCCUCGGUAUGAAUGGAAGGUGGUGUAGGAUUGUCACGGGGAUGUCGAGCUGCCUCUUCUGUCCAUCACCAGAGUCUACCUCCAUGAACCUAGACGAUUUACACUUCGGACAGUACUUUGCCUCAGUGUGUUCUUUCCUAAAUAGGACGCAGCCCUUCGGACAAGCAUGUAUCUGCUCAUACGUCAUCUUGAGUGCACGAAGGAGUUUCUGUGCCUCGUACAUGCUCUUUGGCAGAACGUGAUCCUCCGGAAGCAGGCUGCCAAUAACUGUCAACAAACCAUCGAAUGCGUCUCGACUCAUGCUAUACUGCGACUUGAACGCCAUUAUACGCCCAAUGGCAUCCAGUUGAGAAACCUUUGUCUUGCCGUGAAGGGGUUUCUGUGCCGCGUCAAACAUGUCGUAGAAUGCCUUUGCGGUCGCCUCUGGCUCGUCCUCCGUACGUCCUUCGGCGAACUGUGCUUCGUGAUAGUCGUUCAACAUGUCUCCUACCCCGGCAUCAGCAUCGUAAUCCUCGACGCGUUGUCUCACCACCUCCUCUCUCGUGCGAUGCGCUUCACCAUGGAAGAUCCACCGAGUAUAGUCCGGCGUAAAUCCAUUCUUCCAAAUAUGUUCUACCAUGGCCUUCUUUGGUUUUCUUUUCCGGUUGUCACAUUUGCUGCACAGACAAGGGACUAGGCUAGCUCCUUUAGCAGCUUCGCCAUAUGCCCGUUCCACGAAAGCAUCGGUCUUCCUAAUCCAUUCUGGGGUGACAUCAUUACGUCGAACGCGGCCCGUGUACAUCCACUCACGGUCCUCCAUCCUCUAACAUAUAUAACUGAGUAUAGUUUAAUAUAGACAUGUAAUGCAUGUACAUACGUUCCUACCUUCAAAUAGGUGAGGAUAGGUCCUAAUCCCACCCGCGGUUGCGUAGAUGGAGUUAGUUUCCAUGCUCUACUCAGAUCCGAGAUAGAAUUUCGGCAGCACCUCCCCGCUGUUCUCCGGAUACACGUCCUGGCAGGGAGAGUGUACUGUCCGGAGAACAACAGGGAGGUGACGCCGAAACUCUUUCUCGGACCGGAGUAGAGCAUGGAAACUAACACCAUCUACGCAACCACGGGCUAUCCAAAAAACGUGGACAAUUCGAAACUGAUACAUUUGUAGAUAUGCAAAGAUCUGCAUAUCUACACCGUAUCUCUUUCGAACGGGAGACGCCUAACUGGGUUACGUGAUCUACGACCAUGAUGCGGAAAUAGAGGUUAUACCUAGGGUGGCGGGGGAGUCAGGCUAGCGGGGCUGUGGCGGGUUGGUGCAGUGGCGACGCGAUGCGGUGCAGGCAGCCCCGCAGUGGCUAGGAAGACAAGUAUCUUCUCUAUAAAAAAUAAACAAGCAUGUCAAAAAAAUCGGCAGCACUUCCCCUGUAUGGGGAGGUUUCCAAAACCUGUAAAUAGAUCUAACAGCACGAUGGCUGACACGCACAUAUACAAACGACACGAUGAAUGCAAGUCACAUCUAAGUGAGAGAGAGUGAGCGGGUGAGUGAGUGAGAGUGAGACGAUGGUGGGCGCGACGACGGCGAGCGAGCGGGUGAGUGAGUGAGAGUGAGACGACGGCGGCAACCAAACUAACUUAAUAUCAAACCUAACAAUUUCAUAUAACAAUUUCAAACCUAACAAUUUCAUAUAACAAUUUCAUAGAUCGUAUAACAAUUUCAUAGAUCGUAUAACAAUUUCAUAUAAAAAUUUCAUAGAUCGUAUACCUUAGCCGGAGUGACGGUGGUUGGCGGAGAUGGCCGGAGCGGGGGAUGGCGGAGAUGGCCAGAGCGACGGAAGGAUGCGCAGGGGCGGCGGCGCGCGGCCCGGCGGCGUGGGGGCGGCGCGCUUGGGCUUGCGGCGUGGCCGGCGGCGGAGGGCGCAGGGGCGGCGCGUGGGCUGGCGGGGCGCGUGGCCGGCGGCGCGCGAGGGCCGGCGGUGGGAGCGGCGCGCGGUGGAUCGGAGAAAUUAGAUAGAGAGUGUGAGGAAGAGAAGAAGAGAGGAAGACGACCGGUUUAUUAUUCAAUGGCUUUGCCGAGUGCCAGAUCGCGGGCACUCGGCAAAGAUUUUUUAAAAAUAUUAAAAUAUUCUUUGCCGAGUGCCAAAUCGCGGGCACUCGGCAAAGAGUUUUUAAAAAUAUUAAAAUAUUCGUUGCCGAGUGCCAGAGUGUCCUUUGCCGAGUGCCAGCUGGAUGACACUCGGCAAAGAAUCUUUUACAAUCCUUUGUCGAGUGUCUCCCCGCUGACACUCGGCAAAUUACUUUUUUAUUUUUUUUAUUUUCCCUACCAAAUUUUUUGUGGUAUGUUCCUACACUAUGUAGACCUACAUAUACCAUUUUGGGACAAUUAUAAAUGUGUUUUCAAUAGCUAGUAGAUUUAGUUCGUUUAUUUGAAUUUUUUCGGAAAAAUUAGAUUUGAAAUGCAGGUCACUCGAAAUUUAGAAAACUGUGCAUGCAAAAAUGAUAUUCAUGUUACUUAGCAUAGGUUACAACCGAUUUCAGGAGCGGAUCGGAAACUUUGAGCAACAUGCUCACUAAACAUGGCCGUGAACUUGCCAUCCACAUAUUUAAAAAUUUUAUAAAACACAAACAAAGUCAGAAAAUCAUGAAACUUGUCCACGUGUCAUGAUAUCAUAUGUAGAGUUUGUGAUAAAAAAUUUAGAAUGUUUGGAGAAAGUUGCGAGACAUUAUGUGUAGAAACCUAAGAGAACCACACAUGAAAUCAUAGAGUUUCAAUGUGGAUCUCUUAGGUUUGUACACAUAGUGCGUUACAACUUUCUCGAAACUUUUUCAAAUUUUUAUCACAGCCUCUACAUAUGAUAUCAUGACAUGUGGACAUGUUUCAUGAUUUUCUGACUUUGUUUCUGUUUUAUACAAUUUUUAAACACUUGGAUGGCAAGUUUACGGUCAUGUUGAGUGAGCAUGGUGCUCGAAGUUUCCGGUCCGCUCCUGAAAUCGGUCGUAACUUGUGCUAAGUAGCAUGGAUAUCAUUUUUGCAUGCACGGUUUUCCAAGUUUCGAGUGACCUGCAGUUCAAAUCUGAAUUUUCCGAAGAAAUUCAAAUAAACAAACUACAUGUACUAGCUAUAGAAAACACUGUUAUAAUUGUCCCAAAAUGGUACAUGUAGGUCUACAUAGUGUAGGAACAUACCACAAAAAGUUUGGUGACCAAAAUAAAAAAAUAAAAAUAUGCUUUGCCGAGUGUCUACAUAGGGCACUCGGCAAAGACUCUCUUUGCUGAGUGCCAGAUAUUUGACACUCGGUAAAGACUGACGGUCGUCAGUUGUAGACGGCCGCUAACGGCCCUUUGCCGAGAGCCAUGUUUGCCGAGUGCUUGACGUUCGGCAAAACAGUCUUUGCCGAAUGCUUGGCUGUGUCGAGUGCCCUGCACUCGGUAAACAAUCUCUUUACCGAGCGCAGGACUCUGUCGAGGGCGGCACUCGGCAAAGUCGACUUUGCCGAGUGCCCGAUAAAAAGCACUCGGCAAAGCCUCCGGCACUCGGCAAAGGGCCGAAUUCCGGUAGUGAUGGUCACAAAUACUAUAGCGACAACCAAUUUUGGUACGGAGGGAGUACAAUGCAACCGAUUGAAAAGGGACCAGUCAAUGCUCAAGCUUGUGUGCAUGCGUUGACCAAGAGCUAGCUUGAAUGUAAUAAUGAAGGGCAGAGCUAAUUAAAACAAAUCCAGGUUUGUUUUCGCUUGUGGAAUUGUGCGCUGAACUGAUUAAUUUUAUUCUGUCAGAUUAAUAAGCAGCUAUCUAGUUAGCUAGAGGCAUGGAGGAGCAGCAGCAGGCAGCUUCCUUGACUGGAGGAAGGUCUUGUUCUUGCCGUCCGCGGAUGCGAGGUAGGCGAGGAAGGUAGCGAAGUCGGUGUCCAUGUACCGCCGCGGGUUGCCGGCCUCGUCGUCCACCAGCUC